rnacentral:rRNA from 1 species
UACGUAGGGGGCGAGCGUUGUCCGGAUUUAUUGGGCGUAAAGAGCUCGUAGGCGGCUCAGUAAGUCGGGUGUGAAAACUCCAGGCUCAACCUGGAGACGCCACCUGAUACUGCUGUGGCUAGAGUCCGGUAGGGGAGCAUGGAAUUCCUGGUGUAGCGGUGAAAUGCGCAGAUAUCAGGAGGAACACCAGUGGCGAAGGCGGUGCUCUGGGCCGGAACUGACGCUGAGGAGCGAAAGCGUGGGGAGCAAACAGG